rnacentral:rRNA from 1 species
AUUGAACGCUGGCGGCAGGCCUAACACAUGCAAGUCGAACGAGCGGCGGACGGGUGAGUAAUGUAUGGGGACUGCCCGAUAGCGGGGGAUAACUACUGGAAACGGUAGCUAAUACCGCAUACUAUCGGAUAACCCAUAUGGGAUUAGCUAGUUGGUGAGGUAAUGGCUCACCAAGGCGACGAUCCCUAGCUGGUCUGCGAGGAUGAUCAGCGAAAUUGGGAUGGAGACACGCCCCAGACUCCUACGGAGGCAGCAGUGGGGAAUAUUGGACAAUGGGGGCAAGCCUGAUGCAGCCAGCGGGCGGGUAUGAAGAAGGCCCUAGGGUGGUAAAGUCCUUUCAGUCGGGAGGCGGUACCGACAGAAGAAGCACCGGCUAACUCCGUGCCAGCAGCCGCGGUAAUUC